AAUCCAGAGGCCUCCAACCGUAUGUUGAACCACAGAUCAGUUUCAUUUAAGACAACAUGACUGUAAGUGUAACUUUGACCUUUCUUCUCUUCCAAAAGAAGUUCUACAAAGACUUUUAUUCUGAAAGACGUCACGCGCGUCUACAGGUCUUUGUAAACCAGACAGAAUCUGGUCUUUUUUUAAACAAAACUUUUCGCACUUAUAAUCAAAUAAAUACAAAUAAUAUUUUUUUUUCUCCAGGCUCUGGUACCAAAGCUGCUGGAGCCUGAAACUGGUCCAAGUCCUGGUAGUUGGAGGCCUCUGGUCUAAAUAAUAAUCCUCCUCAGACUCAAGAGGUUUUGUUGUUUUUCUGCCAAAUGUUCAGGUGUUUAGUGCCUCAUUUUGCCAAACUCUGUCUCUACUGUCCAGUCCAGUUAACACAGGAUUAAUACUGUUUAAUUUUUUUUAUAUAAAUGUAUGUAUACAUAUAUAAAUCUAUAUAUAUGUUCACCUUACAUCACGCAGUCAGUAACUCACUCCUCAGUUUUGCUAUUUUCAGAUAAAUGUCAAUGUACAGUCUAACUUAUACUGUCGUCCCUUCUACUCUCCUUAAAUAAAUCAAGCUGUUUUUUAAACUCUGUCUCAUCUCUGUCUUCCUUAAAGUCUCGUCAGUCUUUACAGUUGUCUGAAACACUUACUUCGAGGGCGACCGGACCGGUGUAGUUUCUUGGAGACGGUUCACCUGUCCAUCCACGAGGCUUCGUCACUUCUGAUGGAGCGGCGGAACACCUGAAAAGGAAGGUCGGAGAAAACAGAGGAUGAUGACUACUGUUAAUUCCAAUCGUGUUAGCUCCACAGUGUGAAACUCUCCAAAUGGCUCGUCUGGUGGUUGAGGUCGCCGACCCCUGGUCUAAACAAUAAAUACCACAGUGAUGUAAAUAUUACAAUUACAAUUUUAUUUGGGUUUCAUUGGAGAGCAGCGUGAAAUUUCAAAGAAAAAUGAAGUGUCUUCCACUCACGUGGACACGGGUCCUUGGUUUACUGCAGCCUGCUGCUGAGGUAAAUAUGAACGUCAGACUUCACAUGCCUUUAAAUGUGCUGACUGUGAGUGUACGGUGCCGCAGGACAAGACGAAGGUGCUGUUGACUCGUCAAGUUGUUGGAGCAGAAACACAGGCAAAGCAUCAGUCAGACAGACUGACACAUCGUCAUCAUCAUCACAUGGACACGAGUGGAAUCAAAGUCUUUUUGGUAUAAAACUGUCGUAUAAAAGUUUACA